rnacentral:misc_RNA from 1 species
CAGGCUUUGAGCCAAAACUUACAAGGACUAAGAAAGAGAGGCCCAAUAAGGAGGUUAAGCGGGCAGCUAAUCUACUUUUUACAAGAGAAUUGGAGGAGAAUUUGGGUUUUAGCACUAUGGGUUUUGAUAAUGAUCGGCUUGUUCACAUGGAAAUUCAUCCAAUACAAGCAAAAAAAUGCUUUCAAAGUCAUGGGUUAUUGUCUCCUAACAGCUAAAGGUGCAGCAGAGACUUUGAAGCUCAACAUGGCUCUCAUUCUCUUGCCAGUGUGUAGAAAUACAAUCACCUGGCUCAGAUCCACAAGAUUAGGUUACUUCGUGCCCUUUGACGACAACAUUAAUUUUCACAAGACUAUUGCAGCCGCAAUUGUAAUUGGUGUCAUUCUCCAUGCUGGAAACCACCUUGCUUGUGAUUUUCCGAGGCUGAUAAAUUCAUCUGAUCAAGAAUAUCAGAGUUAUUUGCAUGAUGACUUUGGAGGACAUAAACCCAGUUAUGCUAAAUUGGCUAGAGGGGCUGAGGGCGUGACUGGAAUUUUAAUGGUUAUCUUUAUGGCAAUUGCAUUUACGCUUGCAACACGGUGGUUCAGGCGGAGCCUCAUUAAGUUUCCAAAACCCUUUGAUAGGCUCACUGGGUUCAAUGCAUUCUGGUAUUCACACCACCUAUUUGUCCUUGUCUACAUCCUGC